rnacentral:rRNA from 1 species
CCUGGCUCAGGUUGAACGCUAGCUACAGGCUUAACACAUGCAAGUCGAGGGGCAGCAUGGUCUUAGCUUGCUAAGGCCGAUGGCGACCGGCGCACGGGUGAGUAACACGUAUCCAACCUGCCGUCUACUCUUGGACAGCCUUCUGAAAGGAAGAUUAAUACAAGAUGGCAUCAUGAGUCCGCAUGUUCACAUGAUUAAAGGUAUUCCGGUAGACGAUGGGGAUGCGUUCCAUUAGAUAGUAGGCGGGGUAACGGCCCACCUAGUCUUCGAUGGAUAGGGGUUCUGAGAGGAAGGUCCCCCACAUUGGAACUGAGACACGGUCCAAACUCCUACGGGAGGCAGCAGUGAGGAAUAUUGGUCAAUGGGCGAGAGCCUGAACCAGCCAAGUAGCGUGAAGGAUGACUGCCCUAUGGGUUGUAAACUUCUUUUAUAAAGGAAUAAAGUCGGGUAUGGAUACCCGUUUGCAUGUACUUUAUGAAUAAGGAUCGGCUAACUCCGUGCCAGCAGCCGCGGUAAUACGGAGGAUCCGAGCGUUAUCCGGAUUUAUUGGGUUUAAAGGGAGCGUAGAUGGAUGUUUAAGUCAGUUGUGAAAGUUUGCGGCUCAACCGUAAAAUUGCAGUUGAUACUGGAUAUCUUGAGUGCAGUUGAAGCAGGCGGAAUUCGUGGUGUAGCCGUGAAAUGCUUGAAUAUCACGAAGAACUUCGAUUGCGAAGGCAGCCUGCUAACUGCAACUGACAUUGAGGCUCGAAAGUGUGGGUAUCAAACAGGGAUUAGAUACCCUGGUAGUCCACACGUAAAACGAUGAAUACUCGCUGUUUGCGAUAUACUGCAAGCGGCCAAGCGAAAGCGUUAAGUAUUCCACCUGGGGAGUACGCCGGCAACGGUGAAACUCAAAGGGAAUUGACGGGGGCCCGCACAAGCGGAGGAACAUGUGGUUUAAUUCGAUGAUACGCGAGGAACCUUACCCGGGCUUAAAUUGCAGAUGAAUUACGGUGAAAGCCGUAAGCCGCAAGGCAUCUGUGAAGGUGCUGCAUGGUUGUCGUCAGCUCGUGCCGUGAGGUGUCGGCUUAAGUGCCAUAACGAGCGCAACCCUUGUUGUCAGUUACUAACAGGUUCCGCUGAGGACUCUGACAAGACUGCCAUCGUAAGAUGUGAGGAAGGUGGGGAUGACGUCAAAUCAGCACGGCCCUUACGUCCGGGGCUACACACGUGUUACAAUGGGGGGUACAGAGGGCCGCUACCACGCGAGUGGAUGCCAAUCCCCAAAACCUCUCUCAGUUCGGACUGGAGUCUGCAACCCGACUCCACGAAGCUGGAUUCGCUAGUAAUCGCGCAUCAGCCACGGCGCGGUGAAUACGUUCCCGGGCCUUGUACACACCGCC